rnacentral:lncRNA from 1 species
UUUAUACUUACACAGAAUAACUAGAUCUACUGCUCCAACGCUUGACUGAUGUCAUUGCUCUUGCUGGGCGGCUGUAUUAGCCUGCAAGCCUGCGUGGUCAGCUGCAGCACACUGGUGUGGUGAAGAGCAGCAGCCAUCCUCGGCCAUGGCUAUGAGGCCUCCUAAAAGGGGCAGGUGUGGACCAGGACAUCACACAAGAAAAGCGGCAUCGUCCUUCCCAGCUCCCAGCCGAAGAGCACACUUCCUCCCCACAGGAUGCAGCCUCUACCCCAUGGGCGUCAUGGACCAUCAUGAACCAGCAGAAGCCUAUGUGUGGGGUCACAGGCCAAGCUGACAACAGCGAGAACCAGAGCAGGGACCCUGACAGACUGCUGCAGUCCCAUGGAGGCCCCCAGCAAGAUGGGACUGCCAGGCCACAGCUAAUGCUGGAGAAGCACCAGCAGAAGAUCAAGGGUCCAAGAAAGCAGCGAUCCAAAAACGGGCAGGCAGCAUGCCGGUGGGGACUCAGCUGAAAUGUGCAGGACCACAGCCGAGUGAUGUGGGUGCUGCGCCUGGGCUCCUGGACUGGGCCAACCCCCCCUUGUAGUGUGGGAGUCCUACGGGGCUUCUUUCGCACCCCACUGUCACCUCCAUAAAACUCGCGUCAGAUAGAACAAACG